rnacentral:rRNA from 1 species
CAUGCAAGUCGAGGGGAAACGACAUCGAAAGCUUGCUUUUGAUGGGCGUCGACCGGCGCACGGGUGAGUAACGCGUAUCCAACCUGCCCAUCACUUGGGGAUAACCUUGCGAAAGUAAGACUAAUACCCAAUGAUAUCUCUAGAAGACAUCUGAAAGAGAUUAAAGAUUUAUCGGUGAUGGAUGGGGAUGCGUCUGAUUAGCUUGUUGGCGGGGUAACGGCCCACCAAGGCUACGAUCAGUAGGGGUUCUGAGAGGAAGGUCCCCCACAUUGGAACUGAGACACGGUCCAAACUCCUACGGGAGGCAGCAGUGAGGAAUAUUGGUCAAUGGACGAGAGUCUGAACCAGCCAAGUAGCGUGCAGGAUGACGGCCCUAUGGGUUGUAAACUGCUUUUAUAAGGGAAUAAAGUGAGCCUCGUGAGGCUUUUUGCAUGUACCUUAUGAAUAAGGACCGGCUAAUUCCGUGCCAGCAGCCGCGGUAAUACGGAAGGUCCGGGCGUUAUCCGGAUUUAUUGGGUUUAAAGGGAGCGUAGGCCGGAGAUUAAGCGUGUUGUGAAAUGUAGAUGCUCAACAUCUGCACUGCAGCGCGAACUGGUUUCCUUGAGUACGCACAAAGUGGGCGGAAUUCGUGGUGUAGCGGUGAAAUGCUUAGAUAUCACGAAGAACUCCGAUUGCGAAGGCAGCUCACUGGAGCGCAACUGACGCUGAAGCUCGAAAGUGCGGGUAUCGAACAGGAUUAGAUACCCUGGCAGUCCGCACGGUAAACGAUGGAUGCCCGCUGUUGGUCUGAAUAGGUCAGCGGCCAAGCGAAAGCAUUAAGCAUCCCACCUGGGGAGUACGCCGGCAACGGUGAAACUCAAAGGAAUUGACGGG